UCAAGCACUUAUCUUUUAUUACAAAGAAAAGAAGAAGUUACAGUUUCUUGAAACAUACAGAGCAAUAGAAGUUUUUUUUUUUUUUAAUUUUCUUUGAUUGAAGAAUCUUAAUAAUACAUUGAUAUUAUUAUGCUAAUGAUCCAUAUUACACUAAUUAUACCAAAAUGGCAAGUAAGUGGUCAUUAUCACUAAUCUCUCUACUAGAACUGAAAGCAAAAGCUCUAUGAUACAAGAUUCGAUUUGAUUUAAUUUUCCUCUAAUUUAUCACUGACUUAAGUGAACAAAUUCAAUUAUACUUUUUCACAAGUUAAGAGAUUCAGAGCGGAAUCUGAAAAAAAUGUGAAUUUUUUUAAAAAAGGUUUUAGAGCAAAAGAUUAACAAGAAACAAUUAAGCAGGGAAAUUAGCAUCCAUGGUCCAGAUUGUGAAUUACCGGUUUGACGGUCGAGCCGUUAUCAAACCACAAAGCCCAGUUAAAACUUAAAACCUAUAAAGCGGAUUUUUAAUGAACCGACCGGUUCGUAGGUUAAGUGGAAACUGUAGAAGGGGCUUCUCAUAACUCAGUCAAGUUUUUCUUCUUCCUCUGCUCUGCUCUGCUCGUUGACAGCUUUAAGUCGACGAUUACUGACAGUUUCCAGAACUAAGAGUGUUUAAAAUGGCUAGGGGAUCAAAGAGUUUCAAAAGAAUAAGACUUUAUGAAAGUGAUUCAGAAGAGAUAAGCGACCAUGAGGAGGAGGUGAGUGAAGAUGAUGGUGAAGAAGAUCAUAGCAUUGAAGAAGAAGAUGAUGAGGAAGAUAAUGUGGAUGGAGAAAUCGAUGAGUUUGAUGAUGAUAAUGAGGAAGAAGAAAGUGGAGAGUGGUGAAGAUGAGAAUAAAGACGCUGCAAUGGAAGAGGAGCUUGAAAAAGAGAUACCAAUGAGCUGCUUCGCUUACAAGAAGAAUAAGAUUUUAUCUCAACUAUCACCAUCUCUAGUUUUGUCUGUUUCGGUUUCCAUCAUGGUUAGUUGUUUCUAGAAACAUUAGAUAACCUUACUGAAGUCUCUCAAAGUGUUUAACUUUAGCUCAGUAUCAUAAACUAGAGUGUCUCUCCAUCUUGGUGAGUUCCUUGUUUGUUUCUAGAAACGGUGGAUAGUCUUAGUGAAGUUUCUGAGUGUUUUUACUUUUAGCUCAGCAGCACAAAAUACAAGUGUUGGCUUGAUUUACAAGUAAGUUUGAGCUUAUUGAUGCCAAAAAGAAUGACUAAUAGCAAUAUUCCGUUCGUGUCUCUGACUGUGUUGUCUCUCUGUCUCCUUUAUUUGCUCUCGUUGUGGAUCGUAGUGCCUCUAAGAGCAGAAAGAUCAGGUAUAACGUGCAUGAGAAGAUUGUCAACUUCAUGGCUCCACGACGAAUCAAGAUUCCUCCAAACUCUGGGGAUCUGCUGAAGAAUCUGUUUGGACUCAAGACCAGAAACGGUCUUCUCCAAGUAACAUACCGCAGUUUUGUAACGCAGAAUAGAAUUUUGGCUACAAGAGAAUUCAUAGUGAAAACUGAGAAACUCACUUUUAUGUAUCUUGUUACUAUUGAUAGCAUCGAUUUAAGUUGUUAUAUGUAUCA